rnacentral:lncRNA from 1 species
AUGUGGUUCUGGAGCAGGAAGAUGUGGUGCUGGAGCACGAGUGGGGGUGUUGGUGCAGGAAGACGUGGUGCUGGAGCAGAAGGAUGUGCUGGAGCAGGAGGGCGUGGUGCUGGUGCUGGAGGAGGUGGAGAUGGUGCAGGAGGGCGUGGUGCUGGUGCAGGAGGAUGUGAGAUGGUGCAGGAGGACGUGGUGCUGGAGCAGGAAGGCAUGGUGCUGGUGCAGGAGGAGGUGGUGCUGGAGAAGGAGGGCAUGGUGCUAGAGCAGGAGGGUGUGGUGCUGGAGCAGGAAGACGUGGUGCUGGAGCAGGAGGAUGUGGUGCUUGUGCAGGAGGAGGUGGAGAUGGUGCAGGAGGAGGUGGUGCUGGUGCAGGAGGGCAUGGUGCUGGUGCAGGAGGGUGUGAUGCUGGAGCAGGAGGAUGUGGUGCUAGAGCAGGAGGGUGUGGUGCUAGAGCUGGAGGGUGUGGUGCUAGAGCAGGAGGAGGUGGUGCUGGAGAAGGAGGGCAUGGUGCUAGAGCUGGAGGGUGUGGUGCUGGUGCAGGAGGAGGUGGUGCUGGUGCAAGAAGACAUGGAGCUCCAAGAUCCCACUUGGUAGGAUUCCAGAAGCAGACGUGGUUCCCCAUUUAAACCACUGGUUAUUCAUAUAUACCAUGAGGCACGACUGACCAAAAUACUGGAUGGAUCUCUGCUGGGGAAACUAGAUGUUUUGGUUACUUGGAAGAGCCGGCAAAAGUAAUCCACUUCAACCAGCACAGUGGGUUUACAGAUUACAGUCAGCUGCACGCGGUCACAACAGACCUCUCAAUACGUAUGGGGCCAAACCCACUGGAAGCUCACUUCUCGCUCAAGCAGGAGUGCAUGGAGGGCAGUUCUUGCCACAGAUGGUGGCGACUCUGGGACCUGAGUGAAUCCCAUCAUCUGCCCCAUGCGAUGGACUCACUCGUGUGCUUCCAGUGCAAUAAAGGGGGAAAGAGUGGGGAGGCCCAGUGCUUCUUAAGGACUUAGUCCCCAAAGCAAAACACGUCCACUCUGCCCAUUUUCCAUGAUGCAGCACGUCUAACCAUAAAGGAGCUGGGACAUGUGGAGCUGGAGCUUCUGGAGCAGGAGGACAUGGAGAUGGUGUAGCAAAGUGUGGUGCUUGUGCAGGAGGACAUGGUGCUUGUGCAGAAGGGCACGGUACUUGUGUGGGAGGGUGUGGUGCUGGUGCAGGAGGGCGUGGUGCUGGUGCAGGAGGGUGUGGUGCUGGUGCAGGAGGGCGUGGUGCUGGUGGCAGGUUAAGUGCACUCAAAGCUUCUGCUGGGAGAGCGUAUGGAGCACAUGGAGAUACCCUGAGACCAAACCACCCACCUCCCAAAGCCUGUACUCCUGUGACUUAGCCUGAGUAUUCCCAGCCUGGUCCACACCUGCCACUCCUGGCUCCACGCUUGUUCUCAGCUCCUCCACUCCAAUCCCAGACUCCUCUGCCUCCCUCCAGUGCUCCAUUGUCCAUCUCAGAGCUCAGCCCCUGCCUCCCUGUGGUGAUCCAGGCCCUGCUUACAGCUGGGCUGGAGGCUUCAGAGGUCAUUGCCCCAGCCCUCCUGCCAAGCCACACCCAAACUACCCCUCACUUACGGGGCUGCAGCAUGUCAGGUGGCAGACACGUGAGAAAUUAGCCACUGCCCCCUCCCUUGAAGCACAAAUCCCUUCCACCACACACAUCCCCCUGUACUGGAAAGUUCCAUAACUACUUCAUAACACACCCCUCUACUUCCAUGUCCCUUAGGAUUGCCUUAGUCGGUCCAGGCUAUGACAAAAUGCCUUAGACUCAGUGGCUCGUAAACAACAGGAACUCAUUUCUCAUAGUUCUGCAGCCUGGGGAGUCCAAGAUCAAGGUGCUGGCAGUUCAGUGUGGUGAGGGCCACAUCCUUUUCCCUAUAACCCUAUGCCGUGGAAGACAGGCAGAGCCUCUCUCAAGUCUCUUCCAUUAGGGCACUGACAAGGUCUGGCUGUGUCCCCAUCCAAGUCUCAUCUUGAAUUAUAGCUCCCAUAAUUCCCAGAUGUCAUGGGAGGGACCUGGUGAGGGAUAACUGAAUCAUGGGGGCGGUCUUUCCUGUGUUGUUCUCAUGACAGUGAAUAAGUCUCAUGAGAUCUGAUGGUUUUAUAAAGGGCUGUUCCCCUGCACACACUCUCUUGCCUGUCGCCAUGGAAGAUGUGCCUUUGCUUCUCCUUUGCCUUCCACCAUGAUUGUGAGGCCUCCCCAGUCAUAUGGAACUGUGAGUCCAUUAAACCUCUUUCCUUUAGAAAUUACCCAGUCUUGGGUAUGUCUUUAUUAGCAGCCUAAGAACAGACUAAUACAGGCACUAAUCCUAUUCAUGAGGCUUCUUCCUCAUGACCUAAUCACCUCCCAGAGGCCAUGCCUCCUAACACCAUCCCAUCAGGUGUUGGCAUUUUAACACAGAAUUAUGGGUGGGGGUGCAACAUUUGGUUCCCGCCCCCCAUAAUAGCAUUGAUAUUUAAGGAAGAGAGAGAAUCAAUUUCCCUCUAAUUUCCACCCAUCGAUCCUAACGGCUCUCUCAGUGGACACCCAGAAAUGGGAUUUGGGAACAGCCACUGUGUUCCUUCACAGCUCUCCCGCCUCCCACCACUCAGAGCACUUCUGCACCCUCCCUACCUCCCCUGCUCCGGUUCUGAGUCCAGACCUUUAACCAUUCUUGCCAUGUUUCUCUGCUAGGCCCAGAACAGAACCACAACAAAUCCAGUGUGGUCAGCACAAAACAAAAACAUGGCCUCCCCAGGUCUGGGUCCAAGUCUUCCUGCUUCCCCAGCGUGUACUCAGGAAGCCGGAGUUGGGACCCAUGCUCGCACCUGACAUUCAUGACCUUAAAAUUUGGUCCUCGUCGUGGAGUGAAGUACCAGAAGAAGCAUUACCUACAUAAUCAGCUGGACCCAGGCAGGCAGAGGAGAAGGAGCAGGGACUCAGCCUGGGGCAGACAGGAGGGCAAAAGCUCAGCAGUGGGAAGAUUCAGGAAUCGUAGAGUCCGACUGGAACAUUAGGAAGAUUCCCUAACGUUCCUUGUGGCACAUAGGAAACUUCUAAAGAGCUUUUCUCCAUAAAGAAAAGAUAGGAGAGAAAUAAAUAAGGAGCAAGCCUUGAGCAUGAGCCCAGCAACCUGGGAUCAUGAGCAUCAUCAAUGUCUCUUGGCAGAUGGUCCAGAACUCAUCAUCUCCUCAGCCGAUAACGUCCUUAUUUCGGGUUUACUCCAUAAAGAGGAGUGGGAUCUCAGCAGCACGGCUGAUUCCUGGAGCAGCUCCUGGACAGACUGACUCGAGUGAGCCACUGCAGGUGUCAGCCCUGAGUGCUAACGGAACGGGCUCAGUGCCCCUGCACCCACCAAGAGGCAGCACACCAUCUCACCCCAAAGGCCCACAGGACGGCCUUCUGCGAGACGCCCAGAUGGGAACACAGCAGACACGAGGCCUCGGGACAGGGAGUGCUACUGCCAGCACCUGUGCCCCAGCCCCACGUGCACCGAACUCAAAAGGUGCUGUGCUCUGUUAACACCCUCCCCUUCUGAAUGUGCUCCCGUCCAUUCCACAUUCCACCCCUCAACCUGGAAAGAGAUCUUGGACUAAUAUGAUUGUUACACUGAGGCCCAGAGAGCUGGAGCAGCUGCCCGAUAUCACCCAGCAAAUGAGUGAUGCUUGGGGCUGCAAUAGUUUGGAUGGAGCUUGCUCGUCCCACCGUAGCGUGGGGUGUUGAAAGGUGGGCCAGUAGGAGGGAUUUGGUUGUGGAGGCAGAUUCCUCCCAAAUGGCUUAGUGUGGUUCUCCUGUAGUGCCUGAGUUCCCCCUCUCUAGAGACUGAAUUCAUUCUGGCCAACUUAGAUUCAUUUGUUAUAGAGCCAGGACACCCCUUGAGUUUCCCCUCGCAGAAGGCAUCUGCUUCCCCUUUGGCCUUCUCUGCCAUGCUAUGAGGAAGCACAAGAGGCCUCCCCAGAAGCCUGGGCCAUGCCCUUGAACUUCCCAACCUGGAGAACCGUGAGCAACAUACACCUUUUUUUUAUAUACAUACAAAUUACCCAGUCUGAGGUAUUAUUUUAUAGCAACACAGAGUGGACUGAGACAGGGGCUACAGCAUAAGGCCCCCAGAGCCUGGCCUGGCCCCCUGUGUGCAAUGCCAGCCGACCAGGUGGCCCCAUCAGCCAAGCUAACAGCAUAGAGCCCAGCGCUUUCUCCCACUCAGAAUGUGAUCCCGUUUGGCGUCUUUGAGCCUCACACACACCCUGAAAAGCAGCCUGGGCAGGGCUGUUUUUCUCAUUGGACAAAUGAGGAAACUGAGGUGGAGGGAAGGUGAGUGGCAUUCCCAAGAUCACACAGCAAGCCGUGUCAGACCCAGGAGUGGCCCCAGGUCCCUCUGUGGCAGCCCAAGGAGCCAGCACAGCCUCCUGUUCCCACCCCAGAGUCCCCUUUUCCUCCUACCCUCUGCACUCAGCCUCUGCUGUCACAUGGGAUUGGGAGCCCAGUCACUCCGCCGUGGCCAGGUAAACCGCGAUGCAGCUGAGAGGGUGGCCUGGCUGACAUGCACAGUUACAAAAAGGCCCCUUCGUCAUCA